UUAAAAGGUGGCUGAGGUCUUAGGCGUUAGAUUGUAAAUCUAAUUACGGGUUGUACCCUCUUUUAAU
rnacentral:tRNA from 1 species